rnacentral:rRNA from 1 species
AAGACUGGGAUAACUCCGGGAAACCGGGGCUAAUACCGGAUGCUUGUUUGAACCGCAUGGUUCAAACAUAAAAGGUGGCUUCGGCUACCACUUACAGAUGGACCCGCGGCGCAUUAGCUAGUUGGUGAGGUAAUGGCUCACCAAGGCGACGAUGCGUAGCCGACCUGAGAGGGUGAUCGGCCACACUGGGACUGAGACACGGCCCAGACUCCUACGGGAGGCAGCAGUAGGGAAUCUUCCGCAAUGGACGAAAGUCUGACGGAGCAACGCCGCGUGAGUGAUGAAGGUUUUCGGAUCGUAAAGCUCUGUUGUUAGGGAAGAACAAGUACCGUUCGAAUAGGGCGGUACCUUGACGGUACCUAACCAGAAAGCCACGGCUAACUACGUGCCAGCAGCCGCGGUAAUACGUAGGUGGCAAGCGUUGUCCGGAAUUAUUGGGCGUAAAGGGCUCGCAGGCGGUUUCUUAAGUCUGAUGUGAAAGCCCCCGGCUC